rnacentral:rRNA from 1 species
ACGAACGCUGGCGGCAGGCCUAACACAUGCAAGUCGAGCGAGGACUUCGGUCCUAGCGGCGGACGGGUGAGUAACGCGUGGGAACGUGCCCUUUGCUUCGGAAUAGCCCUGGGCAACUGGGAGUAAUACCGGAUGAGCCCUUUGGGGGAAAGAUUUAUCGGCGAAGGAUCGGCCCGCGUUGGAUUAGGUAGUUGGUGGGGUAAUGGCCUACCAAGCCGACGAUCCAUAGCUGGUUUGAGAGGAUGAUCAGCCACACUGGGACUGAGACACGGCCCAGACUCCUACGGGAGGCAGCAGUGGGGAAUCUUAGACAAUGGGGGAAACCCUGAUCUAGCCAUGCCGCGUGAGCGAUGAAGGCCUUAGGGUUGUAAAGCUCUUUCAGCUGGGAAGAUAAUGACGGUACCAGCAGAAGAAGCCCCGGCUAACUCCGUG